rnacentral:rRNA from 1 species
UACGUAGGGUGCAAGCGUUGUCCGGAAUUAUUGGGCGUAAAGAGCUCGUAGGCGGUUUGUCGCGUCGAAUGUGAAAACCCGGGGCUCAACCCCCGGGCCUGCAUUCGAUACGGGCAGACUGGAGUUCGGUAGGGGAGUCUGGAAUUCCUGGUGUAGCGGUGAAAUGCGCAGAUAUCAGGAGGAACACCGGUGGCGAAGGCGGGACUCUGGGCCGAUACUGACGCUGAGGAGCGAAAGCGUGGGGAGCGAACAGG